CGGCGAGAUCGAGGAGCUUGGCGUGCCCCGGCCCUCGGUCUAUCGGAGUGCGGUAGCCGAAGACAGAGUCGAAGUCCGAAGCCAACAAGGAGCCAAAGCCCGUAAAAUCAUCAAUUCCCCGUUCUUGGAGGAAGGGGAAGAGGCGGAAGUGGAGGGCCCG
rnacentral:SRP_RNA from 14 species